rnacentral:rRNA from 1 species
UUCCGGUUGAUCCUGCCGGAGGCUACUGCUAUCAGAGUUCGAUUAAGCCAUGUUAGUUGAGGGUGCUUCUUCUUCUUCGGAGGAAGAAGUAACCCGGCGGACGGCUCAGUAACACGUGGACAACUUGUCCUUUGGACCGGGAUAACCCCUGGGAAACUGGGGCUAAUACCGGAUAGAGCAUUGAUAGCUGGAAUGCACGAUGCUCGAAAGCUGAGGCGCCAAAGGGUAGGUCUGCGGCCGAUUAGGUUGUUGUUGAUGUAAUGGAUCAACAAGCCUCCGAUCGGUAUGGGUUGUGAGAGCAAUAUCCCAGAGAUGGGUUCUGAGAGAAGAACCCAGGUCCUACGGGACGCAUCAGGCGCGAAAACUUUACAAUGUGCGAAAGCACGAUAAGGGAACUCUGAGUGCCUCCAAAGGAGGCUGUUCAGGUGUCUAAAAAGCAUCUGAAGUAAGGGCUGGGCAAGACCGGUGCCAGCCGCCGCGGUAACACCGGCAGCCCAAGUGGUGGCCACUUUUACUGGGUCUAAAGCGUUCGUAGCCGGCCAUGUAAGUUCCUUGGGAAAUUUAACCGCUUAACGGUUAAGCUUCCAGGGAAUACUGCUUGGCUUGGGACCGGGAGAGGUCAGAGGUACCUCAAGGGUAGGGGUGAAAUCCGUUAAUCCUUGGGGGACCGCCAGUAGCGAAGGCGUCUGACCAGACCGGAUCCGACGGUGAGGGACGAAAGGCUAGGGUAGCGAACCGGAUUAGAUACCCGGGUAGUCCUAGCUGUAAACGAUGCGGGCUAGUGUUGGCAUUACUGCGAGUGAUGCCAGUGCCGAAGGGAAGCCGUUAAGCCCGCCAUCUGGGGGAGUACGGUCGCAAGGCUGAAACUAAGGAAUGGCGGGGGGAGCACUACACGGGUGGAGCCUGCGGUUCAUGGACUCAACGCGG